UGGAACAGCGAGAGUCUUCUUUACAUCUGAGCCAGAGGUUUUAGAAACUUUAAGAAUCUAGCAAUUACGAUGCUGAAGAUUCUUAAUGCCUUCAACCUAAUGCAGAGGAUUUAUUUGAGGAUUUUGUAACUGUAGAAACUAUUUUUCAUUUCAAGAAAAAAAGCUUGACUUUUAAAUCUUGAUGGAAGCAUGACCUGCGGAGAUUUGGCAAAACCUUCCCUAGAACAGCUAGCAUUCCUUGUUCUGCCUCAUUCUGGUCAAGCACUGAAAAAACAUGUGCUCUGUAGCUUACUGAAUGAUUUUACCACAAGUCUUUGGGGUUUCUUAAAGAGUUUUUGGGAUCCCUUUUGUAACGUCUGUUGCUCUGCAACUUACCAAGUUUAUACAAAUAGUUACCUGCCCACUGGAGAAAUACCAAUGUAACAGUCCAAUGGGCAGUCUAAGUUCAAGCCCUUGUUCCAAUUAAUGUUUAAUUGUUUAUACAAAGUGAAACAGAUCCAAUAGGAGAGACUGAGGAAGCUGUUGUUCAGAAUACGUGACAAUUUGGCGGCCAGAAUACUUGCCUGAGAUGCCGGAUUCUGAUAUUCAGACAUCCUGCAGGACAGAAGCUUGAAAUCUGUAUUCCUGUGUCACCAGUGUCUUGAUUACAGGUGGUUAUCUGGGAGGGGUGAGAGUUUUCCUGCUCUUCGAUGUAUUUCAAGUCUCACUGUGGUUUUGAGAACUUCUCCUAGAGCACUGCUGAUGAUAUACUGCACUUUGUGGGAAUCCAGCCUACAGGGACAGCUUUACAAGCCAUCGCAGGCUUCAGGCAUCUAUUUUUAUCAAACCGAACAAUUGUUGCUUAGAAAAAACGAGACCCCUACUUCCCGGGCCACGUGUGGCUGACCUCGGUUGGAAUCCAGGACCGACUUCAGGAUGCCAAGUUAGAAGUAAUUCCCAGAGUGAAAACUCAGGGAGGAGUUGGUCCACACAGCUGCCAUAAAGGCUCCAGUCAGAGGAGCUACACUUAAUAGAUUUCAUAUUGUUUUUCAUGUUCUGUGAUCUUACUAAGUCCCAGCAUCUACAUGGAUAUGUUCAUUUACAGACGUAUAGCAUAUUCUCAUAAAAAAAUUAUGGGUACAUUUCAAAAAGAUGCACUAACUGUACGCUCCAGCUGCUAACACUGUAAAAGUGUUAGGACAUCAUAAACUGCUACAAUCUCCUCUUUGCGGAUGCAGAAAAUGCAGUGGCAGAGCAGUUAGAUGAAGGGCUCUAGUUUAUAGGCUUUACCACAAAAGACUUUUCCAAAUCUCAGCACAAGUCAGUAGCAUGGAGAAGACUAAAAAAAGCAGCUGAGUCAAAUCAGAAGCUGUGGAUGCUCCAUUCCUGGAUGUAUUCAGGGCUGGGCUGGCAGAGGCUCUGAGCAGCCUGAUCUGAUGAGCCUAUGGUAGGGGGUUGGAGCUGGAUAAUCUUGAAGGUCCUUCCAACUUAAGCCAUUCUAUGUUUCCACAGAGUGCCCUAAUUGCUACCUUCAUGACCUGCUACUUUACCCGUUUCCAGUACAAAGCUCUUUGCCUUAUUUAAUGCAUCAGAACAUUGAGUGAGGGAAAAUGUGCCGUUACUCAAGGCUUCACUCGAGUGAUAGCUUUAUCUAUGUUGUGUCUGUCGCCAGAAGGGCAGAACAUGGUCCUGUAGAGUCUCUGUACAAGGUAAUAACAGAGAGUUGCUUCAUUGGAGCUCUUCCCAUGAGGGACGAGGUCUAAGAUCUUUGUUUUUAGUGGAAAAGACCAACAUCUCCGAAGGCGUAGUAGGCGUCAUAACACAGUGCUUCUGAGCUCUGAAUGCAAAAGGUCAGGCAGUGCUUAAUCCUGGGGGUGACCUCAAGGACCUCAAGGGAAUUUCAUCAAGGAUGUAGUUAGUUUGUAUGUUGCAAUGCUCUGUAAGAAACGAGCCUGGCAUUUCAGAGAUAAAAUUUGAAGGCAGCACCAUUCCAGUCACCCAACAUGUUUUGUAAAUGGGAUUUCUGUGACUCUUCAAUGCUAAAACUGUCUGAUGUUCAAAAUUGAAAUUUCAGUCCUUAUUCAGGCAAAGCUCACGCAAAAAAUGAGUAGGAAUACUGCCUAGAGCAGAGUGAAAUAAAAGCUGGAGGAUCUGGUGCUGUGUUAUUUGGCUCAUGCUGCAAAAUUUCAGUAAAUUUGUCACUAGCAGGCAAAGUGAGCAGUUUUGACAACUAUUGUUAUAUUAAAUUAAAAUGACAAACAAAGGCAUUGAUUUUUAAAACCUUUGAAAGUGUGAUAAGCACAUUCCCAAUGAGAAUUAUGCUUCUUUCUGUUUGGCAGGACAUUCACAGUUUUUCUUGUGCAUACUCUAGGUGCACACACACACAAAAAAAUAAAAGACCUGGUUAUUUGAGGCAAAAUUCCUGAAAUAUUGUUCUCUAAAUCUCUAAGCUUCCCCUUAUUACUUUUUAUUCCCAGAAGUAUUUGAUUAUGUUAUUGCCCACAAAAACUGUAACAGUAACAAAAAAAAAAAAAGAAAUUGUCAGUGCAAACAUGGAAUACUUCUUGUCUUUUAUGAAUUCAAGUAUGAAUUAAAAUGCAAGUGUUCUUUUCAACAUUAAGAAUCUUGUCCAGUAGGCAAAUGGUGCUUACAGUAUGGGGUUUUGGAUUGCUUUUAUAUCCCUUAUGUCACUGUUGUUCAACUCUGAUUUUACCCACCUUGGCUUCUUUUUGAACUUUGAAGCCUGCAGUAACUUGGACAGUCUUAGAAAAUUGUACAUUCACAGCCACAAAAGAGUUGCAGCAGGC